AAUGUCUCAGGCCAUGAGUUGGUGCCAGAAUGAUAGAAGACAGUAACUUACAUAUUUCUUGUCCUCUGCAGUUCACUAUGUCCCAAGGCAGUCAAAUAAAUAAAUAAUGGUAGUCACAGCACGGCAGACUCUUGCGAGGGAUCCUGGCUCAAGCUUUCUGGGGAAUCAGCAGCAGCAAGCACAGUGCCUGGGCCAGGGCCGACGGUAGAGUCAGCUUUGAUUGCCUUCAGCCUUGAGUAACAGUCAUAAAAUCGUAGUUUAUGCAAGUCAAGGGUGUGGUUUUCCUACUGUGGAAGGCUGAGUAACAAUCGCUGGAGCUUGCCUGAGCCUGAGCCUGCUAACCUGGGAAUUACAGAACUUACAUGGUAGAAGGGACUGUGCAUGUCAGUGAGUUAAAGACCUGGAGAGGAGGGGUUCUCCUGGCAUCCUUGGUCUAUGCUGAUGUGACCUAAUGUCCUCACAACAGUCCUUAAUAAACGGACACAGCAGGAAUCAGAGGAGGAUGGGUGAUGAUGGCUCAGAGACCAGCAAGACGCACUGGGAGGAUGGAGGAAGCCACGGCUGAGGAACACAGGUGGCCGUGGGAAGUUGAAAGUCAAGGAAGCAGUCUGCUCUCAGAGCCAACAGAUGGCAUAAGCUCUGCCAACACCUUGACUUAGCCCUAGGAGACUUCUUCUCGGUUUAUGACCCCCUGAGAAAAUAAACAUGUGUUGCUUUAAGCCCUAAGUUUGUGGCAACUUGUUAACAGCAGAAAUAGAAGAAUACAUCUCCCUAACAAAAUAUCCACAAGUAGGCAGCCCAAGGCAGGUGCAGCUGCUGGAAUAAGUCAUCACAAACCAGCUCUUCUAGAUUCCUGUGGCACCAACCCUAGCACAUGGCACUCUUGCUCAUGAGGCCAAGUGGGUGCUGUGUCUCUGGGCAUCCUGUCCACACUCUAGGCAGGAGGGAAAGAGCUAAGUGGAAAAAAGCUAUUUUCUUGGAAGUCUUUUUAUUUUAUUCAUUCAAGGAAAGCUAUCAUCCCCAGAGACAUGAUUGCUCCAGUUGCAAAGGAGGCUGAGAAGGGUUCUUGGCCGCCGUCACAGCCCUGCUGAAGUGCGCCCUUGUGUUUGUGAGGACUCCCUGUGACACUGGCCAGUGACUUUGCAGAAGAAAAGCCAGACCAUGACUGGGACUCGGCUCAGCCUGCCUUCCCCGCGGGCCCCUAUCUAGGAACCGUCCACUCACAGCGCUGCAGUGGAGACAGAGUGACGAGACAGUACCUCAGCUUUCCUCUUGGCCAGCCCCAAGGACUCCAGCUUCUGCUUAGAUACUGACGGCUGGUGGCUACCCUACUGGAUAGCGCAAGAGUGAGUGGCCGAGCUGAGGCUCUCGUUAUGAGUGGCUGAUGCCACACUCCUGCUGUCCGGGUCUGGCAGCUUCUAAUGAAUUACGCAACCGUAAGUGGAGCUUGCUAAGGAUGCAGUGGCAUCAGGAACGCGGAAAGUGGGCCUGGGUCUCGAGAGCCUUCGGUGCAGCCCACCUGGCUGAUCCUUUUCAUGCAGCGGCGGAUGCCUGCGGCUGGGUUUCCACGGGCAGGCGCAGGGUGAAAUCUGGUUGCCAUUACACCGGCUACAUGAUCUUUUUGUGGCUUCCAUCUUCUUAAAACAGAAACAAAAAAAGGAGGACUCUGCCUCCCAACAUGUGCUCAGAUGAUGAGCACCUAUUUAAUCUCUGUCAUAGCAAAGACACAGAGUAUUUCUUUGAAGUGAAAAAAAAAUCUGCUUCGUGGCUGCAGGCAGCUCCUCUGGGAGGGUGGAGGAGUUAGACUGGGCUUCGCGGUUCCCAGCAUGGUCCCAGCUCUGAGCCUGUGCUGGGAGAGGAAGGGAAGGGGGCCCAGGCUCCGUGGGAGUGAGCUGUUUUAAGGGUCUCAUUAUUGCUAGAUCAGUUUGUGGGCUUAGAAUUAUUAUUGCAGGGCAGAGUUUCACAGCACCAUCAGUCUUUUGGACCAAAUAGUUGUUGGUUAUUGGAGGACAACUGAUGCAAUGUAGGAUGCUUAGCAGUGUUUCCGGUCUCUGGCCCCUAGAACAGGAUCCCAUCUCCCAGUUGUGAAAACAAAACAAAAUAAAAAAAGUCUUGACCUUGUCAGAUAUCUGCUACAAGUGCCCUUGUUGAGAACCAUGUGGUGGAGUUGCCUUCCUAACCUAUACAAUGCACACAGUAAUAUUUUGCUUGGAUAAUUUUUAAGCUCAGGGUCUCUCCUCACCCUUCAAAAUCUUUUGGUGUUGCUUUAUACUGUUUUUAAGUUUUGGUGGAGCUUAGAAAAAGACAUUAGCAAAUUAAAAUGGGGGGUGGACACUGUGGUGUGUUAAGCCGCCUCUGAAUGCCUGCACCCCACACUGGAGUGCCCAGUUUAGAUCCUGACUACUUUGCUUCCAGGCAGUUUCCUGCUAAUGCGCCUGGGAAGGGAGCAGAUGAUGGCAUGAAUACCUGAGUCCUGGCCACCCACAUGGGAGACCUGGAUGGCAUUCCUGGCUUCUGGCUUCAGCCUGACCCAGCCCUGCCGCUGUAGCAUUUGGGGAAGGAACCAGUGGAUGGAAGAUUUCUCCCUCUCCCUCUCUUUUAAAUAAAUAAAAAAGCAAGUCCUUUUAGAAAUUUAAACCUGAAGGCUGUAAGAGCUCUUAAUGUUCUCCCCUAAUCCAAUAAUCCUAGGUCCCGAAGUAUUUCAAUAGCGCCUGUUCAAUGAAUAGUUUCCAGACUAUGUGCAUGAAUGAAUGAAGUUCAAGGAUAUCACAUUUUCCACCUGUGGCAUUUAAUGGGAACGAUAGGGCCAAAUAUUAGGGUCCAAAACGUCAUAAAACAGAAUCAAAAGACUUAAAGAGAGCUUGAACAGGGAAGUUCCAUAGGGCUCAUCCAAAUUAAUCUUUGAGAGAUAGUCUAAAAUCAAGACUCCAGAAGACAGCCACAAAGUUAGGGUGGGGGUGGUUGAGAGGGUCAAAUUUUUUUUUAAAGAUUUAUUUAUUGGGACCAGCACUGUGGUGCAGUGGGUUAACGCCCUAGCCUGAAGCACUGGCAUCCCAUAUGGGCGACGUUUCGAGACCUGGCUGCUCCACUUCCCGUCCAGCUCUCUUCUAUGGCCUGGGAAAGCAGCAGAAGGUGGCCUAAGUCCUUGGGCCCCUGCACCCACGUGGGAGACCUGGAGGAAGCUCCUGGUUCCUGGCUUCGGAUUGGCGCAGCUCUGGCCGUUGCGGCCAUCUGGGGGAGUGAAUCAUCGAAUGGAAGACCUCUCUCUCUCUCUCUCUCUCUCUGCCUCUUCUCUCUCUGUGUAACUCUGACUUUCAAAUAAAUAAAUAAAUCUGAUAAUAAAUAAAUAAAUAAAUAAAUUUGAAAGGGAGAGUUACACAGAGAAGGAGACGCAGAGAGUGAGAGAGAGAGGUCUUCUAUCCGCUGGUUCACUCCCCAAUUGGCCACAACAGCUGGAGGGAUGCUGAUAGGAAGCCAGGAGCUUCUUCCAGGUCUCUCAUGCGGGUGCAGGGGCUCAAGGACUUGGGCCAUCUUCUACUGCUUUCCCAGGCCAUAGCAGAGAGCUGGAUCGGAAGUGGAGCAGCCGGGACUCAAACUGGAGCCCAUAUGAGAUGCUGGCACUGCACUCAAUGGCUUUACCGAUUGUGACAUAGCACUGGCCCUUCAACUUAGAGUCAGACAGACCGGGUUUGGAUUCGACCCUGUUUGGUUUUCUGGUUGGUCGAUACGAGACUAUCACUGUUUGUCCAAUCCUGUUGUCUAAUCCUGAAGAAGAGAUAGACGUGAAGGUAGAGGAGGAUAAGGGAGCAGAACAGAGUUGGGGCAAGCCAGGACCAGGAGAGGACACUGAGCAUCCCGGCCUUUCUGAGAUGACCCGGGGCGGGAGAGGGGAGGGUACUGAGCUGCCGUGAGACGAGAAUCACAGGGAGGAGUCUCUGGGCUGGUAUCGGCUCAGGAAGGGCUCUCCAGGAGCAGCACCCUAGGUGACUGCUAUGGUUUAGAUAGGGGUUGUCUCCCAAAGGUUCCUGUGCUGGAAACUUGGUCCCCAAGGUAAUAGUCUUGAAAGCUGAAGGCAUCCUGAAGAGACAGGACCCUAGUGGGAGGUGAUGACUACCCCAGGAAGGGAUUGAUGCUGGUCUCAGGGAAUUGCUUGUGUCUUGCAGGCUUGGAUAGGUUCCCAGGGAGUGGCUAUUACGGAAGAACUAGCCUGGUUCGCCCACAUUCUCUUGCUUCCCGUCUUGCUGUGGGACCUCUCCCUCUGCAUGAGCCUCCUUCCCCUUCUCCUUCUCCGCCAUGUUGCUCUGCAGCCCAGGGCCCCUUGCCAGAUGCCUGCACAUGCUGUUUGGACUUAGCCACCAGAACCAAGAGCCACACAAACCUCUUUUCUGGAAAAUGUAUCCAGUUUUACGUCUUUUGUUGUAACAACACACAACUGAUCAAGACGUGAGUGUUCCCGCCCCAUAGCAGCUUUGGGCCCUCAGACUGGGGCACUCCUAGCUCUUUGGAUGCAUUCAGGAUAAAUGCCAUUCUGGGCCCCAGGCAUGGGCACCCCGGGCUGGCUGAAGAGCCCAGGACCCACAGAGUUAGAUAAUUAAUUUUAUAUUAGGAAGCCAAAUUAAUUUUCCUGCUGAGAAUGAUGGGGAGAAUAAGAACACAACUAACAUUUCCUGGAGCACUUCUGCCAUGCCAGGUGGUGUGCCAAGGACUAGCUUUGCAUCAGUUCCCUUCUCUAGCACCUGUCUACAGACACCAACUGUUACCAUCCCCGUUUUGUACAUUGGGGAUGAAGGCUAGGAGAGGUUGCUUACCUCUCCCCAGGAUAUACAGCUAUGGGGAAGGGGGACACACUCAAACUCAGCUCCAAGUCCAAAGUGCCUUGUCUUUACCCCCAACAGCCAAACACUUCCCAGUUGGCUCUGAGCAUUUAUGGUGUCUGUUUUCCUAUUCUUGUGUCUCGUGCUGGGGGCAGGGGAACAAAUGCACUCCAGGGCUGGCCUGGAAGUGACUGAGGGGAAGAGCACUGGGUUUAGCAUCUUGUGGCUUGGAGUGACGUGCUGGCUUGUCACUUGCCAGCUGAGUGACCUUGGGCCACCCACUUAACCUUCUGAUCUUCAGCUCUGUCAUCCUCAGAACUGACAGAGUAGCUGACACGGAUGCAGUACUUGCUGAAUCCCAAGCAUUGCCACUAGAGUUUUCCAUGCGGCAUUUGACCCACUCCUCACAACCACCCUGGAAGCUCGGUACUGAGAUCAUCAUCCUUCAUAGAUGAGAGAUUGGAGGUCUAAAGUGGUCACAUAGAGGGGGCCGCGUGUCCUAGAUGGCCUGAGACUGCCCCACUUACAUCUGCUUUCCCAGACUCCCAUCUGGCUUUGCGUUUUCCCUGUCACUUUUCAUGCUAUAAAAUGUGCCCCAGUUUGGAUAGUACACAAUGUAGUCACAGAAGUUACAUAACCCAGCAAGUAGUGACAUCAAUAUUUAAAUCUGGGAAGUCAGAUUCCAGGGGCCAUGCCCACAAUAGCUGGAAGGGCUGAAGCCAGGAGCAAGGCGCUCAUUCCAGGUCAGAAGCUGUGUGGCAGGAAGCAGUUGCUUGAGCUAUCACCGCUGCCUCUCAGGGUCUGCAUUAGCAGGAAGCUGGAGCCAGGGGCUGGAGCCAGGGGCUGGAGUCGGGAAUUGGAUCCAGGGACUCUGCUAGGGAGUCUCAACUGCCAGGCCAAAUUCUUGCUCCAAGGGCACAUACUCUUAGUCACCAAACUAGUAACUGGCCAUGCCUGUUUCAAAAGUUUGUGUCUCCCUUCCACCCUCCCUCUUUCUAUCCCUUUCUCCCUUCACCUCUCCCUUUUUUUCCUCUCUCCCUGUCUUCCUGAUCUUCUUUCAUGUAUGCCUACUCCAUUGUCAGGCAUUGGAGAUACAGCCUGGUGGGAAGACAGACAUGCAAACCAGUGCUUUAAUACAAUCAAGAGGUGCAGCCAACAGGCAAAUACCAGAGGCUACAGGAGCACAAGACAGGGGACUCUGUGGCUGAAGAGACUUCAAGGGAAGUUGACGGUGGAAUGACUUUCCAGCUGUGUCUUAAGGCUGUGUGUUCUAGGAGUUUCCUAAGGAUGGCGUGAGGUGUAGGGACAAGCGGAGGGUGUGCUGUCCGCUCCUGACAGAGCUAAUGUGUCAACCGCGCAUGUCAUCAGCAAUAAGCACCAGAACUCUCAGCUAAAACUGGUUGCAAAAUUAGGCGUUGCUUUUUGUAUAAGCCUAGAAGUGGGCAGGUGGUUGUCCUGUUUGAUUUCCCAUCAAGGAUUCAGAGUGCCUUUCUACUCUGUCAUCCAUAAGCAGGUUGAUUCUUUGUCCUUAUGUUUGUCAUCUAACGACUCCAACGUGGCUCACAGAAGUCCCACAGGCCUGCACUCGGUCUUGCUCAGCCAAUUAUCUCUGGAAUCUGAGAAGUCACCUCACUCCUCAGUGUCCUCCUUGGUAAAAUAAAUGAGGAAGAACAUCACAGGGUUGUUGGCAGACAACUGAGCGCAGUACAAACUAGGCAACCCCCAAAAAAGCAAAAGCAGAUUUACUUUCCUCUUUCAUCAAAUAUCUAUAUUUUGUUCUGCAUGCAUGCAUUUCUUUAGAGCAGGGCAGGGCCCAUGGUCAGAAAGAGAAGACUCCAAAUUUUGGAUCCCUUAUAGGAAUUAAAUUUGUAGUCACAGAAGCCAGAUUCAUAAGAAACCACCCAUACUUUCUAGGUAAGUAUAGCUUAUAUAAUUAGUAGCACGAUAGGCCAAUGCUGGCCACAAUUGCUGACCCAUUGCAAAGGCUGCCAUGUGGUCAAAACUCAGAAACUAGGGCAGGGAGAAGGCACUGUGAAGGGCGAGAGGGGUUGGGUCUGUCCUGGGUAGCUGGCGAAGGCAACUUGGCAUUCUGGAGAGACACAUCCAAGUUCACUGGGUUUUAUGCACAGCCAGAAUUGGAGAUAAACCUCAGUUAAUAUUUGGGAGAUUAACUGUUCCAUCAGGGAAAGGUGGCCACUAGUGGCGCCCUCAGAGGCUGUCAGACUAAGUGCCCUGCAAGCAGAGGUGAUGGGGCCUGCCCUGGAAGGGGCUGGAGAGAGAUGGGAAUCAGAUUCCAAUGAACUCUUUGCAGCUUUAUUGGAUAUGCACCAUAUGCCUUGACUUAGAAGAAAUUUAUUUUUUCUUACAAAGUUUUUAUUUUCAAAGUCUAUAAAAGCAAGAAGAUUUAUGACUCACUCAGCUAUGUUGGCAAUCCCUAAACCAAUGGACAAAGUGCUGGAUUUUUGAAAAUUCAAAUACAGAAGAACAAUUAUUUUGCUAAAUAACUCCUCUCCAAGUGGGUGAUAUAAAUGGACUGUCUUAUUUUUAAUGGGAACACAGAAACAGUUUAUUUAAAACAAAGAGAAACUGAGGCUAUAGUGCAGUACUAUAGCCAGACCAGCUGGGAAAACUGACCAUCCUGAGGGUAUUGACUGAAUUGAAAAUAUGCCUGGGCCGGCGCUGUGGCGCACUGGGUUGAUCCUCAGCCUGCGACACCGGCAUCCCAUAUGGGCGCCAGUUCUAGUCCCGGUUGCUCCUCUUCCAGUCCAGCUCUCUGCUGUGGCCUGGGAAGGCAGUGGAAGAUGGCCCAAGUGCUUGGGCCCCUGCACCCACAUGGAAGACCAGGGGGAAGCACCUGGCUCCUGGCUUGAGAUCGGCGUAGCUCCAGCUGUUGCAGCCAUUUGGGGGGUGAAUCAAUGGAAGGAAGACCUUUCUCUCUGUCUCUAUCUCCCUCAUUGUCUAAUUCUGUCAAAUAUAUAAAAAAAGAAAAGAAAAGAAAAUAUGCCAAUGAGUCCUCAAGACCCUCAGUGAGGGGUCUGGGAGUCUGCAGAAUGAUCUGGCUUCUCCUACAGACUUUUCUCUAAUGGGCCAGAGGGUGAAUAUUUUAGCUAUGCAGGUCACAUGACCUCUGUAGCAACUAUUAAGCUCUGCUGUAGUAGCACAAAAGAGCCAGAGACAAUAGCAAGUAAAUGUGUGUCUGUGUGCCAAUAAAACUUUAUCAACAUUAGGUGGUGGACUGAUUUGACCUUGGGCCACAGUUUGCCAACCCCAUCACAGAGGAUAUAAUGGAAGGGAGAUGGUAAACUGCUGACAUUUACUUAAACCCCAACAUUUUUAUUGAGCAAGAUGGAAUGUCUUCAAUAGCAACCAAGCUAUGACAACACGAAAUUUCCAAAAAUCACUUUUUUUUUUGAAAAUAAAAGAAUCUUUUAUUAUUGACAAAUAGGAGAACAUAAAAAUUGAAAUACAAAAAUAUGUAAAACCUUUUGUAGUAGAUAAACUGGAUUGGAUAAUCUCACAUUCAUUAACUCCCUUCUUUAUUGUCCUCCAAUAUAGCACUUGAAAAGCUAUUGCAUUCACUUUCCCAGUUUGCCUGCUGCCAGCCAUGGGAUAACCACAGGAUAACCAUGUGAGGCAUAGGGAGGAAGUGUGUGACUGCCUCGUAGAUCGGCCCUCACCUGUGUGUUAGAUCCCAGCCUCGCCCACCUCAGCAAGUUUAAGGGAUGAUGGUGGAACCUUAAGGUGGAGAACUCUGCAACUGGCAGAGUGGAUAGUGAGAGAGAGACAGAGAGAAAGGUCUUCCUUCACCGUUGGUUCACCCCCCAAUGGCCACUAGGGCUGGCACGCUGUGCUAAUCCGAAGGCAGGAGCCAGGUGCUUCUCCUGGUCUCACAUGCGGGUGCAGGGCCCGAGGACCUGAGCCAUCCUCCACUGCACUCCUGGGACACAGCAGAGAGCUGGACUGGAAGAGGAACAACCGGGACAGAAUCUGGGACUAGAACCCGGUGUGCCGGUGCCGCAGGCAGAGGUGAUCUUCAACUAUGAAGCUGGGAGCUGGAAACUCCAUCCAGGUCUCCCACGUGGGUGGCAGGGACCCCACCACUUGAGCCAUCACCUGCUGCCUUCCAGGGUGCACACCAUCAGCAAGCUGCAAUCAAGAGAAGAAGCCAGAUUCUGCUGUUUGAAAAAUGGUGGAUCAUUUGCUCUUAGAACAACUCUUUAAAAGUUUCAACGAACUUUGAAGUGCUCCUGUACAAAACUGGAACCAAAUUAAGAGCGUGUAGAGGGUAUCAACGAACUGAUGUGGACACGGAGGCACAGGGAGGUGGAGGAGCAAUGCCAGGAAAUGGGGACGAGGGUUUGUGCACAGAGGCCGGGCCUGCUUUCCCUACCGCUCUGCAGCACUUCUCUGUCAGAAAACAUCGGGACAUCAGGGGUCUUUCCCGGUGGAAAAGAAGAGAUGGGGGUAGGAUCACUGAAGCCUGCAGCAUAAGAUUGGCAGGUGGAAGCCGAUCCGAUGCACCUGUUGAUAUCAUGCCUGGAAAGAUGCUCUUGACUCCGGGGCCCCUUGUCAAGGUGAACACCAGCUGUUGGAAUUAUCUAGAUAGAAGAAAGCCAGUAGUGUGGCCAACUGCCUGUUUGCUUUCUUGAGGCAGAGUGGACACAGAGAGGAAGGUCUUCCUUUUGCUGUUGGUUCAUGCUCCAAUGGCUGCCGAGGCCGACACACCAUGCUGAUCCGAAGGCAGGAGCCAGGUGUUUCCUCUUGGUCUCCCAUGGGGUGCAGGCCCAAGCACUUGGGCCAUCCUCCACUGCACUCCCGGGCCACAGCAGAGAGCUGGCCUGGAAGAGGAGCAACUGGGACAGAAUGUGGCACCCUGACCGGGACUAGAACGCAGGGUGCUGGUGCUGCCGGCCCUGCAGAUGUUUUAACCUGUUUGUUAUAACAUACUUGCCUGCUGGCUAAGUUUAAUGAACAGAGUACAACUGGCAGACCAGGCGGGCACCUCAGGGAAGAACUGAGAGCCGGGUCUGUAUUCAGCAUGGAGUUUUUGUGGAUCUGGGUAUGGGCCCACUGUUUUUGAGUUCUGUAUGAGUACAAGUAUGAGGCUGUUAGAGACCAUGAGGACUCUGCACGUGACUUUCCUCGUAGCUGCCCCAAACUUAGAUCUCCAGCAUCUUCUCUCAGUGCUCAACUGCCUAACGAGACAGUGAGACAGACAUCAAAUGAUCACCCAGAUUGGGAGGAAGGGUUUGCAACUCAAGAAAUUGACUAUAUAUGUGGAGAGCGUCAGAAACCUAAAUUAAAAAUUAAAAAGGGAAAAAAACACGAAACAGAAGUGAGAAUUCAAAAAUUGAUAAUCGGGGCAGGUAUAUGGUGCACCACUUAGGAGGGGCCAAGAUGGCGGUAUAGCAACAGGACAUUCCGAGUCACGCAGGACAAAAUAGAUAGUUAAUAAGGAGAGGGGGAUACAAGCCAAUGACAGAGCCGUGAGAAAUUCGCACGGAGAAGCCCAGGAGUCCAAUAGAGAUUGGGCAGGUACACGCUGAGGGAGCAAAAAAGAAAGGACAGUGGCAGAGGCACAGUAGAGAAGCCAAACGGGAGACUGAUGCCCCCCACUUCCCCCGUCCACAAGCAGACCAGGUGAGACCAGAAAUCGCGAGUCCAUGGAACUGCGGAUAACAGCAGGCAAGGGAGCCUGGCGAACUGCGUUUGAAGUUCCAAGUGAGAAGAAAGAGAAGGUAUAUGAGAACAAAGCGAGAGGUUGGGCACACCCCUGUCCAUCUAUGUCUUCCCCCUCCCGCAACCAGACCUGCAGCUGGCUGGGAGAAGCCCUAUUAAUUGUUACGUCUUUGAAUGUAAGCAGGGGGCUGCCACAUUUGCCUUCUGUGCACACACACCCCAACAUGGGAACAAGGAUCACAGCAUUUUAGAGUAAUUUCCUCCCCACCACGCUAGCUGUACAACAAGAAGUCCUAAAUAUUGAAAACUCGAGCCCAUGCCACACACCAAUGAGAAGCGAGCCUGGCCCCCCAGUAGGCGGGGCUUAGUGUACCAAAGUUCUGGUACCUGCCUCCAUCACAAUCCAGAAGUGAGCAGGACUCCCAGAGGUGGAGCUGUGUGCUUCCACUUGCCGCGCACAGACACAUAGCAGCUCACAGCAGAGGGAAAUCUCACCAUAAGUUCAAAGGCACACAUUAAAGAGAAAAGCAAACAGAAAUGCUAAUAACCAAAGCAAAAACCCUAAAUAAGAAUAAGGAAGACAUCAUGAGCCUCCCAAAGGAACACUACACCUCUUCAAUAAUAGAAGCUGAAGAAGGAUAGAAGAUAUACCAGAAACGGAACUCAUAAAAUUGUCAGAUUACUUAUAAGCAAUCAGAAACAAAUUCAUGAUCUAAAUGAAAAUGAAAUAUUAAAGAAGUCAGAAUGAAAUAUUAGAAAUGAAGAAUUAAAUAGAUCACAUAAAAAAAGCAGUGGAAAGCCUUAACAACAGAAAAGGUGAGACAGAAGAAAGAACAUCAGAACUGGAAGACAAAUUUCUGGAAAUAAUAGACCAAAUAAGAGAAUAAGAAAUUAGAAUAUUAAAAAAUAUGGUUGGAGAGCUACAAGAUUCUAUCAAAUGACCCAACAUACAGAUACUAGGAAUUCUGGAAGGCAUGGGAAGACAGAAGAGAAUUUCCCCAAUCUGGAGAAAGAAAGAGACAUCCAAGUACAGGAACUACACAAUUCCCAAUAGACACGACCAGAAAAGACCUUCACCAAGACACACUGCAGAAAAACUCUCCUUCUCCUCAGUAAAACAUAAAUAAAAGAUCUUAAAAUGUGCAUGGGAGAAAUGACAAAUCACAUUGAGAGGAAACCCAAUUCGACUCACUCUAGACUUCUCAUCAAAAAUCCUACAGGCAAGGAGAGAAUGGCGAGACAUAUUCCAAGUCCUAAGAGAAAAAAACUGACAACCCAGAAUAUUGUACCCUGUAAAACUCGUUUAUGAAUGAAGGAGAAAUAAGGAUCCUCCACAGAAAUUGAAAGAAUUUGUAACUACUCACCCAGCCCUACAACAGAUGCUCAAGGAUGUGCUACACACAGAAACAGGAACAUCACUACAAAUGUAGAUGAAUGCAAAAAUGACCCAGCAAAAGUGCAAAUGAAAUCCAAAAUACAUAAACAGGACUAUCUAUCGAAACAUGGCAGGGAAAAGUUGGUACUUAACAAUAGUCACACUGAAUGUAAAUGGUAUCAACUCCAUAGUUAAACACAGACUGGAUAAAUGGAUUUAAAAAGAAAACCCAUCUAUUUUCUGCCUACAAGAAACACAUCUUACCAACAAAGAUGCACGCAGACUGAAAGUGAAAGGAUGGAGAAAGAUCCCAUUCUAACAAACCACAGAAGAGCUGGUAUAGCCAUCCUACUAUCAGACAAAUUAGACUUUAACACAAAAACUAUUAAAAGAGAUGAGGAAGGACACUACAUAAUGAUUAAAAGAUCAAUUCAACAGAAGAUGUGACUAUUAUAAAUGAAUAUGCAACUAAUCACAGGGCACCUGGCUAUUUAAAAGAAAUGUUAAAGGGUUUAAAGGGAGAUAUAGACUCAAAUACAAUAGUAACUUGGGACUUCAAUACCCCACUUGCAGCAAUGGACAGAUCAAUCAAUAAGGAAACAACAGAGCUAAUUGACACUAUAGACCAAAUAGACCUAGCAGCUAUCUACAGAGCCUUCCACCCUACAGCCACAGAGUACACAUUUUUUUCUAUGGUACAUGAAACUUUCUCUUGGAUUGGCCACAUGCUAGGCCAUAAAGCAAGUAUCAGCAAAUUCAAAAAAAUCAAAAUCAUACCCUGCAUCUUCUUGGACCACAAUGCAAUGAAGCUGGGAAUCAACAACUCAAGAAUCUCUACAUCAUAUGUAAACACAUGGAGAAUGAACAACAUGUUCCUGAAUUAAGAGUGGGUCAUAGAAAAAAAAUCAAAAGAGAAAUGAAAAAAUUUCUGGAAACAAAUGAAGGUGAUAAUACAACAUACCAAAAUUUGUGUGGGAUACAGCAAAAGCAGUGUUAAGAGGAAAGUUUAUAGCAAUUGGUGCCUACUUCAAGAAAUUGGAAAGGCACCAAAUAAAUUAACUAUCUAUACACCUCAAGGAUCUAGAAAAACAAUAGCAAACCAAAUCCAAAACUAGUAGGAGAAAAAAUUAAAAUUAGAGAAGAAAUCCACAAAAUGGAAACAAAUACAAAAGAUCAGCAAAAUGGGGGGGGGGAGCCAUUGUAAUCCAUAAGCUGUACUUUGGAAAUUUAUAUUCAUUAAAUAAAAGUUAAAAGAUCAGCAAAAUAAAGAACUGUUUUUUGAAAAAAUAAGCUCAAUUGACACACCAUUGGCCCAACUAGCCAGAAAGAGAGAGAGAAGACCCAAAUCAAUAAAUUAGAGAUGAAAAAAGAAAUGUAAAAACAGACACCACAGAAAUAAAAAGGAUCAUCAGAAAUUACUACAAAGAGCUGUAUGCCAACAAACUGGGAAAUCUAGAAGAAAUGGAUAGAUUCCUGAACACAUAUAACCUACCUAAACUAAAGCAUGAAGACAUAGAAAACUUAGACCAAUAACCAAGACAGAGAUUGAAUCAGUAAUAAAGACCCUCCCAACAAAGAAAAGCCCAGGACUGGAUGGCUUCCCUGCUGAAUUCUACCAGACGUAUAAAAAAGAACUAACUCCAAUUCUUCCCAAGUUAUUCAGAACAAUUAAAAUGGAGGGACUCCUCCCAAAUUCUUUCUAUGAAGCCAGCAUCGUAAUAAUUCCUAAACUUGGAAAAGACGCAACAGAGAAAAACUACUACAAACGAAUUUCCCUGAUGAACAUAGAUGCAAAAAUCCUCAACAAAAUUCUGGUUAAUCGAAUCCAACAACACAAGAGAUCAUUCACCUGGACAAAGUCAGAUUUAUCCCUGAUAUGCAAGGGAUGGUUCAACAUUUGCAAAUCAAUCAGUAUAAUAUACCACAUUAACAAAUUGAAGAACAAAAACCAUAUUAUUAUGUCAAUAAAUGCAGAGAAAGCAUUCAACAAAAUAUAACACUCUUUCAUCAUGAAAACUCUAAGCAAAUUGGGUUUAUAAGGAACAUUCUUCAACACAAUCAAGGCAAUUUGUGACAAACCCACAGCCAGCAUCCUAUUGAAUAGGGAAAAGUUGGAAGUAUUCCCAUUGAGAUCCAGAACUAGACAAGGAGGCCCACUCUCACCAUUGCUAUUAAAUAUAGUCCUGGAAAUUUUAGCCAGAGCCAUCAGAUAAGAAAAAGAAAUCAACAGUAUUCAAAUCACUAAAGAUCCCUAUUUGCAGAUGAUACGAUUCUUAAUAUAGGGAACCCAAAAGACUCCAUGGCUGAGAAAAAACUUCUAAGAUCAAUCACAUUCACAGUAACUACAAAAAAAUCAAAUACCUUGGAAUAAAUUUAACCAAGGAUGUCAAGUAUCUCUACAAUGAGAAUUACAAAACAUUAAAGAAAGAAAUAGAAGAAGACACAAAAAAUGAAAAAAAUUUCCAUGUUCAUGGAUUGGAAGAAUCAAUAUAAUCAAAAUGUCAAUUCUUCAAAGUAAUUUACAGAUUCAAUUCAAUACCAAUCAAAAUACCAAGGACAUUCUUCUCAGAUCUAGAAAAAAUGCUGAAUUCAUUUGGAAACACAGCAGAGAGACCUCGAAUAGCUAAAGCAAUCUUAUACAACAACAAAAAAAAGUUGGAGGCAUCAUAAGACCAGAUUUCAACACAUACUACAAGGCAGUUAUAAUCAUAACAGCCUGGUACUGAUACAAAAACAGAUGGAGAAACCAAUGGAACAGAAUAGAAAUGCCAGAAAUCGAUCUAAGCAUCUACAACCAACUCAUAUUUGACCAAGGAGCUAAAAGCAUUCAUUGGAGAAAGGACAGACUCUUCAACAAAUGGUGUUGGGAAAACUGGAUUGCCACAUGCAGGAGUAUGAAGCAAGACCACUACCUUAUAAAAAAAUCCAUUCACAAUGGAUUAUAGACCUAAUUCUAUGACCUGAUACCAUCAAAUUACUAGAGAGCACUGGGAAAACUCUCUAAAAGAUUGGCACAUGCAAAGAGUUCCUGAAAAAGACCCCAGAGGCACAGGAAAUAAAAGCCCAAAAUUAACAAAUGGCAUUACAUCAAAUUGAGAAGCUUCUGUACUGCAAAAGAAACAGAAAAGAGGCAACCAACAGAUUGGGAGAAAUUAUUUGUAAACCAUGAAACUACUAAAGGCUUAAUAACCAGAAUAUAUAAAGUGAUCAAAAAACUCAACAACAACAAAACAAACAGCCCAGUCAAGAAAUGGGCAAAGGACUUAAAAGAGGAAAUCCAAAUGGCCAACAGAUACAUGCAAAAAUGCUCAGGAUCACUAGCCAUCAGGGAAAUGCAGAUCAAAACCACACUGAGGUUUUACCUAACCCCAAUUAGAAUGGCUUUCAUACUGAAGUCAACAAACAACAAACGCUGGUGAGGAUGUGGGAAAAAAGCACCCUAAUCCACUGUUGGUGGGGAUGCAAACUAGUAAAGCUACUAUGGAAGACAGUUUGGAGAUACCUCAGUAAUCUGAAUAUAGUCCUAUCAUACAUACGACCCAGCCAUCCCACUACUUGGAAUUUACCCAAGGGAAAUUAAAUCAGCAAAUAAAAGUUUCCUGCACCCCCAUGUUUUUUGCAACUCAAUUCACGAUAGCUAAGACAUGCAAUCAACCUAAAUGCAUGCCAACAGAAGACUGGAUAAAGAAAUUAUGGGAUAUGUACUCUAUGGAAUGUUACACAGCAGUCAAAAAAAAAAGUCUGCUCAUUUCCAACAAAAUGGAAGAAUUUGGAAAACAUCAUACUUAGUGAAAUAAGCCAAUCCCAAAGGGACAAAUACCAUAUGUUUUCCCUGAUCUGUGAUAACCAACAGAGCUUCUACAAGGAAACAUGUAGAAGUGAAAUUGACACUAUGAGGAGCAAUGACUUGAACAGCCCUUGUCUUAACUGUCGAGGAACAGUGUAUUAUUUUAUUUUUUUACUAUUUUUUUCUACUUAAUAUCAUUGGUUGAACUCUCUACUUAAUAGAAUUAAUCAUAGAUGUAUAAUAUCAAUUGAAAAUAGACCCCAGUAAAAAAUAAGAGUGGGAAUAAGAGAAGGAGGAGCUGUACAGUUCAGCACACAUCCCACAGACUUACCCCUAAGGGUAAAGCUAAAAACUUGCCAUGGGACUCCAAAUCCCAUUCAGCAGGUUGGUAAUAAUGCCAUCUUACAUGUUAAAGUGAUCAUAUUAAGUGUUUGAUUGAUCAUAUAGAUAGGAUUGUCAAAGGUAUCACAUAAAUAAGACCAGCUAUCUGGUAAUAACGAUAGAAUUAAAAAGGAGAGAAUGUUCCAACAUGGGAAGCAGUCUAUACAGCAGACUCAUAGAAUGACAAUUGCUCUAAAUAGCACUCUGACCUCAGAAUCACCCCUUAAGGCAUUCUAGUCUGGCUGAAAAGCCCAUGAGAGCAUUUCAGGCAUGGAAAGCCAAGACACCGUGUCAAAAAAUGAUCUACAUCUAGGAUCUCUGUGAGCGAGACCCCAGUGUAAAGAAGGGGCCAUCAAAGAAUGAUGCACUUUUCUCUGAAGGGAGGAGAGAACUUCCACUUUGCUUAUGGCCCUGGCUAAUACUGACGGAGUUUGUGGACUCAAAAGGUUUUCAUAGCCUUGGUAUCUGAUGUCAAGAGCCUCGGGUGAUCACUGACAUCACAAAAAAUAGUGUUAAUUGUUAAAUCAACAACAGGAGUCACUAUGCAUUUACUCCCCAUGUAGGACAUCUGUACUUAAUGUGUUGUACUAUGAGAAUUAACUGUAAAACUUGUUCUCAAACAGUACUUUAUACUUUGUGUGUGCAGAUUGUUGAAAUCUUUACUUGGUAUAGAGUUGGUCUUCUGUAUAUACAUUUGAUUAAAAACCAGUAUUAAUGAAGAAUGGGAUGGGAGAGGGAGUAGGAGAUGGAAUGGGAGUGGGCAUGGAGGGCAGGUAUUAGGGGAAGACCACUAUAUUCCUAAAGUUAUUUUUAUGAAAUUUAUAUUCAUUAAAUAAAAGCUUACUUUAAAAAUAUGCACCUCUUAGGAGUCCUACAUCCCAUACUGAAGUGUCUGGAUUCAAGACUCUGCUCCACUUCUGAUUACAGCUUCCUGCUAAUGUGCACCCUGGGAGGCAGCAGAUGUCAGCUCAAGUACUUGAGUCCCUAAUACUACUUGGAGGAGAGACCUAGAUUCAGUUCCCAGCUCCUGGGUUCAGCCGGACCCAGCCUCAUCUGUUAUGGGCAUUUAGGAGUCAACCAACAGAUAGGAGACUGAUCUCCCUCCCUCCCUCCCUUCCUCACUCCCUCCCUCCCUUCUUUCCUCCUUCCCUCCUUCUCUCCUUCUCUCUCCUAUUCAAAAAUAAAGUCACUAACACUUUAAAAAAUUGAAUAAUAAUACAAAGAGGUGCUCAGGGUUACUACACAUGAAAUAAUGCAAAUCAAACAACAAUAUCUAUUUUAUAGGAAUCAGAUGAGCAAGAGAAUUGACUAUAUGGGACUAAGUGUAUGUGGGGGGCUGCAAGGAGCUAGAUGAAUUGAGAAAUAUGAUUGACAGAAUGAAUAACUUUAAAGGUAGAAGGGAUCAAGAACUGAGUGAAGAGGAAAACGAGGAGGAGGAAGAGAAGGAGGAGGAGAAAGACACAGGAGAAGGAGGAGGAGAGAGGAAGAGACUAGUUCUGAUCUGGGCAACACAGCUGAAAUGCAAAGAGCUAAGGGAAUUAUGGUGCAAUACAUGUACCAAUUACACAGUACAAAUCUGGAGGCAUGCAUAGGGGUUUGCACAGAUGACACAGGCCUUGAAGGCCAUGCUGAGGAAUUUGGGUUUUAUUCUAAGUGCAAAGGCUAGGUAUUGGAACACUUUCACCUUGAUCUCACCUGGAGAGUCUAGUGGGAUGCUGUUAUAGUCCUUCAGGUGAGAGGUCCUGGAAUCUUGGAAUACAAUACUUGUAAGAAAUGUAGAAAUAAAUGAACAGACUCAAGAGACAGUUGACCUAAAGGAGGAUAUAGACUCUAAUACCAUAGUAACAAGAGACUUCAAAACCCCACUCUUACCAAUGGACAGAUCAACCAGACGGAAAAUCAAUCAGGAAACAACAGAGCUAAUCGACACUAUAGACCAAAUGGAUUUAACAUAUCUACAGAACCUUUCGUCUUACAGAGGCAGAAUACACAUUCUUCUCAUAAGUACAUGAAACAUUCUCUAGGAUACACCAUAUGCUAGGCCAAGUCUCAGCAAAUUUAAAAAAAUCGAAAUCAUUCCAUCACCUUCUUGGACCACAAUGGAAUGAAACUAGAAAUCAACAACUCAACAACAUGCUCCUGAAUGAACAGUAGAUCAUAGAAGAUAUCAAAAGAGAAACAAAAAGAUUUCUGGGAACAAAUGAAGAUGACAAUACAUCAUAUCAAAACCUGUGGGAUACAGUAAAAGCAGUAUUAAGAGGGAAGUUCAUAGCAAUCGGUGCCUACAUGAAAAAACUGGAAAGGUACCAAAUAAAUGAGCUACGACGCAUCUCAAGGAUCUAGAACAUCAACAAACCAAACUCAAACUAGUAGGAAGAAAUAAAUAAUUAAAGAAACAAAAUUGAAAUAAAAAUAUAGAAAAUCAGUGAAAUGAAAAGCUGUUUUUUUGAAAAAAUAACAAAAUUGACAUGCCACUGGCACAGCUAACCAAAAAAGAGGAAAAGACCCAAAUCAAUAAAAUCAGAGAUGAAAAAGAAAAUGUAACAGCACAUUUCCACAUAAAUAAAAAUCAUCAGAAAUUACUACAAAGAGCUGUAUACCAACAAACUAGAAAACCUAGAAGAAAGGGAUAGAUUCCUACAAAGACACAAUCUACCAAAAUUAUGAAGAUACAGAAAACCUAAACAGACCAAUAACCAAGAUGGAGAUUGAAUCAGUAAUAACCAGGACCAGACAGCUUCACUGCUGAAUUCUAUCAGUCAUUUAAAGAAAUAAUGCCAAUUCUUCUCAAUCUAUUCAAAACAACUGAAAAGGAGGGAAUCCUCCCAAACUCCUGUUACAAAGACUGCAUCACCUUAAUACCCAAAGCUGGAAAAGAUCCAACAAAGAUAACUAUAGACCAAUAUCUCUGAUGAACAGAUAUGCAAAAAUCCUCAACAAAAUAUUAGGCAAUCAAAUCUAAAAAACAUAUCAGAAAAAUAAUCGACCCUGACCAUGCAUGAUUUAUUUCCAGAAUGCAGGGAUGGUUCAACACUUGCAAAUCAAUCUAUGUGAUAUACCACAUUAACAAACUGAAGAACAAAAGCCAUAUAAUUAUCUCAAUAGAUGCAAAGAAGGCAUUUGAUAAAACAGCAUCCUUUCAUGAUGAAAAACUCUAAGCAAAUUGGGUUUAGAAGGAACAUUCCUCAACAUUAUCAAGGCAAUUUAUGACAAACCCAUGGCCAGCGUCCUAUUGAAUGGGGAAAAGUUGGACGUAUUCCCAUUGAGAUCUGGAACCUGAGAAGGAUGCCACUCUCAUCAUUGCUAUUCAAUAUAGUCCUGGAUGUUCUAGUCAGUCAUUAGGCAAGAAAAUAAAUCCAAUGGAUACAAAUUGGGAAGGAGGAAGUAAAAUUAUCCAUAUUUGCAGAAGACAUGAUUCUAUACAUAGGGGAUCCAAAAGACUCUACUAAGAGGCUACUAGAACUCAUAGAUGAGUUUGGUAAAGUAGUAGGAUAUAAAUCCUACAAAAAUCAAUAGCCUUUUUAUACACAAACAAUGCCACAGCUGAGAAAAAAACUUCUAAGAUCAAUCCUAUUCACAAUAGCUACAAAAAAUCAAAUACAUUGGAAUAAAUUAAAUCAAGGAUGUCAAGGAUCUCUAUGAUGAGAAUUACAAAACAUUAAAGAAAAAGUAGAAUAAAAUACAAAAAAUUUAAAAAUCUUCCAUGUUCAUGGAUUGGAAGAAUCAAUAUAAUCUAAAUGUCCAUACUUCUGAAAGCAAUUUACAGGUUCAAUGUGAUAUCAUUCAAAAUACCAAGGACAUUCUUCUCAGAUGUAGAAAAAAAUGAUGCUGAAAUUCAUAUGGAAACACAGGAGAUCCCAAAAAGCUAAGCAAUCUUAUAACAACAAAACAAAGCUGAAGGCAUCACAAUACCAGAUUUGAAGACAUACUACAGGGCAGUCAUAAUCAAAACAGCAUGGUCCUGGUACAAAAACAGAUGAAUAGAUCAAUGGAACAGAAUAGAAAUGCCAGAAAUCAAUCCAAGCACCUCCAACCCUCUUUGACAAAAAAGGAAAAAUAAAUCCAUGAAGCAAAGAUGGUCUUUUCCACAAUGGUGCUGGGAAAACUGGAUUGCCACAUGCAGAAGUAUGAAGCAAGACCCUACUUUACACCUUACACAAAAAUCCUCUCCAAAUGGAUUAAAGACCUAAAUUUAUGGCCAGAUAACACUGAGGGAACCCUGUAAGACAUUGGCACAGGCAGUCAAAGCUAAAAUUGACAAAUGGGAUUACAUCAAGCCGAGAAACUUCUGCACUGCAAAAGGAACACUCAACAAAGUGAAGAGGCAGCUGAUAGACUGGGAGAAAAUAUCUGCAAACUAUGCACCUGAUAAAGAGUUAAUAUCCAGAACAUAUAAAGAACUCAAGAAAUCCAACAACAACAAAGUAAACAAUCCAGUUAAGAAAUGGGCAAAGGACUUGAACAGGUAUUUUUCAAGAGAGGAAAUUCAAAUGAUCAACAGACACUUGAGAAAAUGUUCAGGAUCAUUAGUCAUCAGAGAAUUGCAAAUCAACACCACAAUGAAGUUUCACCUUACCCACGUUAGAGUGGCUCUCAUACAGAAAUCAACAACUAUUGCUGGCAAGGAAGUAGGGAAAAAGUCACCCUAAUCCAUUGUUGGUGGGAAUGUAAACUGGUCUAGCCACCAUGGAAGACAGUGUGGAGACACCUCAGAAAUCUUAAUAUUGACCUCCCAUAUGACCCAGCCAUCCCGUUCCUGGGAAUUUACCCAAAUCAAAAGAAAUCAGAAUCUGAAAGAGUUAUAAGCACCUCCAUGUUCACUGCAACUCAAUUCACAAAAGAUAAGAUAUGCAAUCAACCCAGAUGUCCAUCAACUGAAGACUGGAUAAAUAAAUUUAUGGCAUAUAUACACUACAGAAUAUUACUCAGCUAUAAAGAAAAGAAAUCUUGUCAUUUGCAACAAAAUGGAGCAACUGGCUAAUUAUAUAUUCUAAUUAUAAUUAGAAAGAAGCUAGUCCCCAAAAGGCAGAUAUUGUAUGUUUUCCCUGAUCAGGGGUAGCUAUAGAGUACCUAAAAUGUAACGUAUUGGAAGCAAAUGUGUUGGAAGGAAUUUUGAGAUUUGAUAAUCUGUUUACAGCCCUUGUCUCUUCUGCUGAGGACCAUGGUUUUUUUUUUUUUUUCAUACUAUUUGUUGAACUCUUUUACUUAGUGUAGUGUUAACCUUACUAUCAUUAAGUAAACUGAAAGUAGAUCUCUGUAAAGAUUAAGAGUGGGAAUGGGAAAGGAAGGAGGAAGAAGGGUUGAAAAAUGGGUGGGACAGAGGGUAGGGUAAGAACUAUCACUAUGUUCCUAAAUCUGUAUAUAUGAAACACAUGAAACUUGUAAAACUUAAAUAAAAUUUAGAAAAAAACAAAAAACAAAAAAGUGGUGUAAAACAUAAUCUAUCUCCCAGGAUCUCUUUAAGGAUUAAAGGAAGUCAUAAUAUAAAGUGUUUUAGCAAGGAGUUUGGCACACAGUAAGUGCUCAACCACUGUUAGCUCUUAUUAGUAUUAUAAAUCUAACUCUCCUUUUGAAAACACUGUCUUUGGGUGAAAGAAUUAGAAAACUCAAGGUUGGCACUAUAGUGUAACAGGUUAAGCCACCGCCUGCAAUGCCGGAAUCCUGUACGGGUGCUGAUUUGGGUCCUGGCUACUCCACUCCUGAUACAGCCCCCUACUGAUGCACAUGGGAAAUCAGCGGAAGACAGCCAAAGUUCUCGGGCACCUGCUCCCAUGUGUAACACCUAGAGGAAGCUCCUGGCUCCUGGCUUUGGCCUGGCCUGGCCCUGGCCAUUGUGGCCAUUUGUGGAGUGAACCAUAAAUGGAUGAUCUAUUUCUUUAUUUCUCCCUCUUUCUCUGUAACUCUGCCUUGCAAAUAAAUAAAAUAAAUCUUAGAAAAGAAUUAUAAAACUCCACCCAGAAAGAUGUGAGUAGGCUCCACUGUCUUGGCAGCAUUUAUUUCUCUAUCUUUCUGUUCCUGAUAUAGAGCAGGUUCCUUGAAGGCAGGGUCCAUCCUGUGUUCAUCUUUAAGUCUCAGCCUCUAACACAGACAUUGGUAGUUAGCAAAUAUGCAUCAGGCCCCUAAAUAAACACAAAAUCGAAAGGGAAUCGCUUCCUUCUUGCUUAAUGGAAAAAUGUAUUCCCAUAGCAGUGGGAAUGGGAUCCCUGCUAGAGGCUGGAAGUCAAUUCGUCUCUCUAAAUUCCAAGCCCAAGGCCCAGGAUUUCCACCCAACAGAUGCUUUUUGCAUUGUGAGGCAGCCAGGCAUGUGGGCUGCUUCAGUCCACGUGUCUGCUCCAUCCUUCAUCGUUCCAUUUCCUGGGAAGAAGAGCCUGUGGGGCUCUCCGCUAGCCGCACAUGUUUUCCGUUUCAUGUUUCAGCCAGUAAAUGAGAGGGCUCCCUCACAGGCCACUUAACAUGUAUCACAGACGCUUCUUUGGACAAGUGGACUCUUCUGCUUCCUCUGGGACCCCAAGGCCUGAAUGAUGUGCAGACCUGAUAGGGCUGGAGAGCUGCACUUAGAACAGCCCCGGGCUAAAGACAGGCUGUCUUCUACUUAACCUCGAGGCUUGAAGAUGAACCUCAAACACUUUGCUCGACACAGCAAAAGGUUAACAUGUUAUUGGAUUGUUUGUAGCAUCCAAUAACCUUUCAACCCCCUGAUGUUUCUACAAACGAAUUGGGACUAUCCCAGAGGAGCGUGUCUGUGUAGCAGAAUUUCGAAUUUUCCAUCUUUCCAUAGUUUUGGAACCAACUGGCAGAGAUGUUACAGCAACAGGAAGGCAAGGUCACAUGGGCGUUCCCAUCUCCUUGGAUAAUGUGUGCUUGGUUUUGGGUGCUUUACAGAACUUGGGGUGGGUUUGGGCUCGGAAAUGGUGUUGAAAAAUGACUGGAUGGUUAUUGAACAUACCGAUUGAGCAGAGGACGUGUUAGGUUUGCUGAUACAGCAAAAGUAAAUCAGGUCAGUACCUGAAAACUAAUAGGGACGGAAUUACUAUUAACUACUACCUUUUUGGUACACUUACAGAGUGAACACCCCUCAUCUGAGAAUCCUAAAUCAGAAAUGCCCCCAAAUCCAGGCCUUUAUGAGCAGGGACCAUGACACCACCGUGGAAAGUUCCACACCUGACCUCACGUGACAGACUGCAGUCAGAAUCCCGGCACCGUAAAAACACUGUAGAACAUACCCCCCCAGGCUGUGUAUAAGGUACAGGUGAAACAUAAAUGAAUAUCAUGUUUAGAUGUGGGUCUCCUCCCCAAGACACUUCCUUAUGUACACGCCAACAUUCUAAAUCCCAAACCCCAAAUCUGAAACACUGCUGGUCCUGACUGCUUCUGACAAGGGUUUACGCAACCCAUAUUACUCGAUUGACUGAAAAUAUUCUGGGCCCUCGGCAUUCUCAUUUGAUAGCUGGUGUUUAGUCUCUUGGUUGUCUAAUAGGUCAGCCACCCGCCUGGUUUUCCAGAUUGGCAAUAACAAUACUGACUGCCGUAUCUGUGAUGAUUAUGAUGAGCAGGCAGAGAUCAUGAAGAAUACAGGAUGAAUUAGGCAUGAUCAUUUAUAAAAGAAAAUAUGAAAAAAAAUUCAUCCUCACCAGCGUCAAAGGAGUACAAAAGAAAACACAAAAUGCCUUUCAUUUACCAGCAUUUCAACAUUUCAAAAUGUGAUUUUUGAAUAUUCUCAGCCCAUAGUUGUAGCAGCAUAAUCUGGCACAGUUGAUUUUUGGAAAAUAAAAUGGCAAUUUUAUUAUUUAUUUAUUAUGUAUUAAUUAAGAACCUCGAACAUGUUUUUAUCUCUUGACCCACGUUUGAGGAUUUAUCUGGAACCUCUAGAGACAAACUGAGUGUGGUCAAAGAUUUAGGUAGGAAGUGGUGUCUGCAGGGUCCUGAGUAAUUUGAGGACAGUUUUACCAAAGCAAAACAAAACAAAGAACAUGGAGAAAAUGCAGGGUGCGGGGGCCAGCAAAGGGAGGGCCCAACCCCAACUCAAGGCCUGGGAGGGCAGGGAGGGAGUGUUUCCCAGAACUUGGGGAGUGAAGUUCCUUGGAGGGGGUCUCCUGGCUCCCUGGGAAGACAUGCCCCAUCCCACCUCCCCCCUGCUUGUGGUCCCCUCCCCACACCUCCCUUUCACUGAGUCCAGCCAAAGCCAGAGGCAGGGAGCCCUCAAAGCCCACGUGGGCCUGCGGCGGACAGUGGCUCUGAAGAGACAAACGAACAGCAUCCAGUAUGCUUUGUUAGUUUUAAGAGCAAAAAUAAAAAUGGAGGAUAAUACAGAUGUCCACUGGUUGGGAAUGCAGCCAGUACACUUUGGUACAAAUCAUGUAUUUGAAGAAACGAUAACACAGGGCCAUGUUUUCAGCAUAUUGUCAACCAAAGACAAGUAGUAGAGAAAAUUAUAGAUGGCUCCAAUUGUGAAAGCGAUAGGCACAUAUGACCACCAGAAAAAAGGCUGGAGGAAACACACCCAAACUCAGCCACGGCGCUUUCCAAGGGUGGGCAGGGGUUAUGGCCUUCUUUCUUCUUUUUUAAAAUUACCUGUAUUUUCUAAAUUUUUCAUGAGGAAUACAGUUUUUGCAGUAGGAAACCACUUGUUUUAAACUGGCCUUUUGCCUUAGUCUAUAGCCUAGCAGGUGAAAAAGAUUGGUUUCUAACUGAUCAUGGAAAUGUGCAAUGGAAAAACAAAAGAACAAUUUGGUGAUUUCAACUGACAGGCAUAAUCAGGAUGACUUUCUGGAGGAGGCGGCAUUGUAAACUGGCCCUUGAGAGGUGGAAAAGUCUUUCUGGAGGUUGAGAAAUGGCAGAGGGGAAGCCAAGUGAGGGAAAAAUGAAAAAUCAAAGACUUAGGAGACACAGGGGCACGAAAUGUCCAGAGGAUCAUUCUGUAGAUGACCACUGGCAAAUAACAACUCGUACAGCACAUGGAUUUGCACCCCUCUCUGAACAACUGAAUUAGCACACCUUCCGGGGAUCCCAGGAUACUGAUUUUGUAAAUGCUGCCAGGCGACCCCAGGCAUGGCUAGGGGUUUAGAAGCGGCCUGUGAGCAAAGCACAUAGGAGAGUUUGGUGGACCACUGUGCAAUGGCUACCUCCCAGCAACCACUUUAGAACGCAUGACCCUACCCCAUGACCACAGAGGACUGGGCCAGGAAUGGCCAUGACUCUGGUGCUUAAUGAAGGAUUGAGGUCGGCUACACAGGGGGCACAGAGAAGACCUACGUGGUAUCUGCGCUGGAUUAGCAAAAGGAGGUAAAGCUCAGGAGACAGAAGAACACAGAUGUCAGAGGAAAAGGGAUGGACACAGAGGAGCCGGGCAGCUUCCAGUCCCUGAGCAGCACUUUCUGAUGUCUCUGCGUCCCUGCCCUUGCGUGUACCGAGAGCUCCCGUCUCAGUCAUCCAGACCGCGUUUGUUUUGAUUUUUACUUUAUUAUUACUGUUGUUAUUAUUACUUGAGAGGCACAGAUUCAGAGAGAGAGAAUUCCACCUACUGUUUCACUUCCCACGUGCCUACAACAGUCAGGGCUAGGCCGGGUGGAGGUUGGGGUCCAGGAACUUCAUCCAGGUCUCCUAUGUGGGUGCCAGGAACUCAAUUACGUGACCUACCACCGCUCUCUCCCAGGGUCUGCAUUAGCGGGAAGCUGGAGCCAGCAGCGGAGGUAGGACAGGAACCCAGGCACUCUGGGAUGAGCUGCAGAUGUCCUAACUGUUUUCACUCACCAGGCCCAGUUUCUAGUGCUGGCCUGCUGGGACGGGCCUCACAUACCCAUCAGAGACAGGCAGGGCAAGCUUGAACUUCAGGAUCGCAGCAACGAUCCACGCUGGAGCCUGAAACAAACAGCACUGCUACUCACACUCACUCGCUAGUGCAGGCAUCUCGGAGCAGUAGUUGGGCGGAAUUACUGGAUGUUGCAGGAACAGCCAAACACACACAUGAAAGAGCUAUUCGCGGUCGAGUUCAGACGUCCUUGGGUUAACGAAGGUAAGCUGGUUUCUUCACUCCGAUCCUUCUCAGAACCUUUGUUUGCUCUUGUGUAUCGUGAUUCCCCUCCAGGGAUUAGAGAAGGCGGUGCACACAAGUUUAUUUGACUGAGGUACCUUUUUGUUUUGCUUUGUUUUAAAAGGUGUGUUUCAGAGCUGGUGGUCCAGGGAGAGCCAACUCAUUCAUUCGUCAUUAACGUAAGGGAGGGCUUCAGAAGCUUUGUGGCAAAAAUGGAAUUAAAAGGCAAAGCUUAUUGUAGUGCAAAAUGUUUUGCAAUCCAUGCAUGGCUUUUUUCUCCACAGUACACAUUCUCCACGAACAUUUUUUGAAGACUCUUCUAUUUCUUCAUCUGAUAAACCAUGUAUCUGAGGGACAAACAUAAGGACUACGUCUCAAAAUGGCAUGUUAUCUGGAUGAAGAGGGCGUGCUAGCCUGCUGGGAGUUGUGUGUUGCAUGUGUGUGCAUGUGCAGCCACACACACGUGUGUGUGUGUGUGUGUGUGCGUGUGUUUACUUGUGCCUGAGUGUGUGUGGAGAGAAUGAAGGGAAUGAGAGCCAGCCUGACAGAGGGGCAGGUCCUGGGCUUGGAGGCUCCACACAGGACUCCCGGUGUCCAUGAACACAGAAGGCAUGUCCAGCCCUAAUCCAGGAUUGCAUUAUGUCGGACAGGCUGGGCUAAUUGCUCUGAUUAGCUUUGCCUUCAAUUAAAAGAAACUUCCAGAGUAUGUAUGCUCCUGUCCAUCAGGCAAAAUGUCCUGCCACAACCGAAUGUGCUUAUGGCCAAACCGAUUUCUAAUUUGUGAAAGUAACUGGCUCUGCUCUGCCGUCAUUUGCAUUUUCUUCCUUAAAAGUCCUAGAUG